rnacentral:rRNA from 1 species
UACAGAGGUCUCAAGCGUUGUUCGGAUUCAUUGGGCGUAAAGGGUGCGUAGGCGGCGCGGUAAGUCGGGUGUGAAAUCUCGGAGCUUAACUCCGAAACUGCAUUCGAUACUGCCGUGCUUGAGUACUGGAGAGGGAACUGGAAUUUACGGUGUAGCAGUGAAAUGCGUAGAGAUCGUAAGGAAGGCCAGUGGCGAAGGCGAGUUCCUGGACAGUUACUGACGCUGAGGCACGAAGGCCAGGGGAGCAAACGGG